CCUACGGGCGGCAGCAGUGAGGAAUAUUGGUCAAUGGACGAGAGUCUGAACCAGCCAAGUAGCGUGAAGGAUGACUGCCCUAUGGGUUGUAAACUUCUUUUAUAUGGGAAUAAAAUGUUCCACGUGUGUGAUUUUGUAUUUACCAUAUGAAUAAGGAUCGGCUAACUCCGUGCCAGCAGCCGCGGUAAUACGGAGGAUCCGAGCGUUAUCCGGAUUUAUUGGGUUUAAAGGGAGCGUAGGUGGAUUGUUAAGUCAGUUGUGAAAGUUUGCGGCUCAACCGUAAAAUUGCAGUUGAAACUGGCAGUCUUGAGUACAGUAGAGGUGGGCGGAAUUCGUGGUGUAGCGGUGAAAUGCUUAGAUAUCACGAAGAACUCCGAUUGCGAAGGCAGUUCACUGGACUGCAACUGACACUGAGGCUCGAAAGUGUGGGUAUCAAACAGGAUUAGAUACCCCGGUAGUC
rnacentral:rRNA from 1 species